AGACAGCAGCAGCCACGGGAAUACGGAGGGUGCAAGCGUUAAUCGGAAUUACUGGGCGUAAAGCGCACGCAGGCGGUUUGUUAAGUCAGAUGUGAAAUCCCCGAGCUUAACUUGGGAACUGCAUUUGAAACUGGCAAGCUAGAGUCUUGUAGAGGGGGGUAGAAUUCCAGGUGUAGCGGUGAAAUGCGUAGAGAUCUGGAGGAAUACCGGUGGCGAAGGCGGCCCCCUGGACAAAGACUGACGCUCAGGUGCGAAAGCGUGGGGAGCAAACAGGAUUAGAUACCCCAGUAGUCCCUGUCUCUUAUAC
rnacentral:rRNA from 1 species